rnacentral:misc_RNA from 1 species
AACGCACAUUGCGCCCUUUGGUAUUCCGAAGGGCAUACCUGUUCGAGCGUCAUUAUCACCCCUCAAGCCCCGUGCUUGGUGUUGGACGGCCUGGUCGAGGUUACUCGACCCCUCCUAAAGACAAUGACGGCGACCUGUGGUUCCCCCGGUACACUGAGCUUUUCACUGAGCACGUAUCGGACAAGGGCGCCCGGGACACGGUCCUCUCCUUUCACUAGGAAACUUUCAUCAAGGUUGACCUCGGAUCAGGUAGGAAUACGCGCUGAACUUAA